AUCUCGUUGAGGUUCUUGUUUUAUAUUCAAUCAUACACAUGACAUCUACUCAUAUUUCACUCCGAAAUGCUUACCGAGAUUCUUCUUGCUCUUCAAAGCUUUGAUGGUGUAGCCUAAGUCUGUAUGAUUUUUGGUUUUGGAUCUUCUAACA
rnacentral:sRNA from 1 species